GCACAAGCAGCGGAGCGUGUGGUUUAAUUCGAUGUUACACGAAGAACCUUACCUGGGUUUGACAUAUAGGUUGUAGGGAACUGAAAAGGGACCGACCCUUCGGGGAGCCUAUACAGGUGUUGCAUGGCUGUCGUCAGCUCGUGUCGUGAGAUGUUCGGUUAAGUCCGCUAACGAGCGCAACCCUCGUCGUAUGUUAUAUGUGUCAUACGAGACUGCCGGUAAAAGCCGGAGGAAGGUGAGGAUGAUGUCAAGUCAGCAUGACCUUUAUAUCCAGGGCUACACACACGCUACAAUGGUCUGUACAAUGGGUAGCCAAGCCGCGAGGCGGAGCCAAUCCUGAAAGCAGGCCUCAGUUCAGAUUGCAGUCUGCAACUCGACUGCAUGAAGCCGGAGUUGCUAGUAACCGCAGGUCAGCAAUACUGCGGUGAAUACGUUCCCGGGUCUU
rnacentral:rRNA from 1 species